UACGGGGGGGGCAAGCGUUGUUCGGAAUUACUGGGCGUAAAGGGCUCGUAGGUGGCCAACUAAGUCAGACGUGAAAUCCCUCGGCUUAACCGGGGAACUGCGUCUGAUACUGGAUGGCUUGAGUUCGGGAGAGGGAUGCGGAAUUCCAGGUGUAGCGGUGAAAUGCGUAGAUAUCUGGAGGAACACCGGUGGCGAAGGCGGCAUCCUGGACCGACAUUGACGCUGAGGAGCGAAAGCUAGGGGAGCAAACGGG
rnacentral:rRNA from 1 species